GAUGAACGCUGGCGGCGUGCUUAACACAUGCAAGUCGAGCGAAGCGAUUUUAAGGAAGCCUUCGGGUGGAAUUAAAAUUGACUUAGCGGCGGACGGGUGAGUAACGCGUGGGUGACCUGCCUCAUACAGGGGGAUAACAGUUAGAAAUGACUGCUAAUACCGCAUAAGCGCACAGUGCUGCAUAGCACAGUGUGAAAAACUCCGGUGGUAUGAGAUGGACCCGCGUCUGAUUAGGUAGUGGGUGAGGUAACGGCCCACCAAGCCGACGAUCAGUAGCCGACCUGAGAGGGUGAGAGGCCACAUUGGGACUGAGACACGGGCCAAGCUCCUACGGGAGGCAGCAGGGGGGAAUAUUGGACAAUGGGGGAAACCCUGAUCCAGCGACGCCGCGUGACUGAAGAAGUAUUUCGGUAUGUAAAGGUCUAUCAGCAGGGAAGAAAAUAACGGUACCUGACUAAGAAGCCCCGGCUAACUACGUGCCAGCCGCCGCUGUAA
rnacentral:rRNA from 1 species